UUAUUGUUUUGAUUUGGAAUCUUGGAAGAGUUUUCUGCGCGCGUUCAAGUGAAUCGGAAAAAGUAGCUGUUCUCCUUUCUUUUAGCCACAACGGUCUAGAACGAAAAAUUGGAAAAGACGACAAGACUAAUCGGCGCCAAGCGGUUUUAAAAAUGAAGUUGCAGGAAAGCAUGAAAAAGCAGUGUUGUUAUGUGUCUGUGUUCGGAUUCUCUAGUGUCAGCGUUAAAUUAAACAAAGGACCGCCACCAAUGAAUCAGUUGAACGUUUAUCUCGGCUCACAUCCAACGACUUAUCAACUGUAUUCCAAUCGGAAAUAUGACUCGAAGUUCCAGAGCCACCUGUCAAUUUCCUGCCGGAUCUUCCGAACAGUCAUUAUGAGGCGGAAAGCUGCAUCAAAUUUCCCAAGCAUCCAAAGAGGACCAUCUAAGAAGCGGAAACCGAACGACAGUACUUGCUGAUCUACUUUUGUUCGGCGAUCAAAGGCCGUACGAAUAAUUUUCCCCCAAAAAUAUUUCGAGUAAAUACCACAUUAGUUUGAGAAGAAGAGCUUAAGAACAUGGCUGAAUCCCAUAUCAUUUAGCAUUGAAAGGAUUGUCUUUCUUUGAGAGGUGUUGGAAUUAUUACUUUACACAUACAUUUUACUCGGUGGAGGAAGAAAGCGCUCGAGUAUAGUGAUGGCAAAAGAUCUUCAUUGGAGCUCUAUUUACGAAGAAGAAUCCCUCAUGCUGUAGGAUGUUACUGUAGCAUCAAAAUUUGUUACAUAUUACUGAUGUUUAACUUGAUAACUAUUGAAUGAAAAAAGAAAAGUUUUUAUUGAAUUCAACUUAAUUUUAGGAUACUUUCUAACUGAUUGACUUUAAAGAUUAGAUAAUUAAUUAAAAAAACUAUACAAAAUCCUUUUAAGUCAUGCAUUAUAAUUUAAAAAAUAUCAUGAAAACUCUUAAUAUUAGUCUAAGAUAGGAAACAUCGAAUUGUUAUUCUUUAACAUUUAAAUCUUGACUGAAUUUCUCACUUGCUUUUAAACGCCUGAAUGUAUAUGCAGCUGCGUAAUCCAAUAUUUUCACCUUUCGGUCUCAAGAUUGUUAAACUCUUAGUGAGCAUUUUUAUAUCGCUUUCAGUUGUAUAAAAUGGAAAAUAUGUAUGAAAUUUGUUAAGUAUUUUUUGUUUCCAAUGUUUUAA